AUUAUUUCCUAUGUUUUCAUCAUUCAAUCUAUCUUGAAGAUACCAUCAGCUACAGGUCGCAGUAAAACAUUCUCUACUUGUGUAUCCCACCUUCUUUCAGUCAGUUUGUUUUAUGUUAGUGGGAGUUUUGCAUAUUUCAGGCCCAUGUCUUCAAGCUCCUUGAGUCAGUACAAGUUCAAUGCAAUAUUCUAUACUAUCAUACCACCCG